rnacentral:RNase_P_RNA from 1 species
GCGAUGAACCAGGCUGCCGCAGGACGGGAGUUCGUGAGAAUUUACCGGCCUGAGGAAAGUCCGGGCUCCGUAGGGUAUGAUGCCGGGUAACACCCGGGCAGGGCGGGUGAAAACCCGCUUUGACAGAAAGCGCAACAGAAAAGAUACCGCCCCGGUAUGGUGUUUCGCCGGACUGGGGUAAGGGUGAAAUGGUGGGGUAAGAGCCCACCUCGGCGGCGGUAACGGCGCCGGAAAGAUUUCGGUCUGGCAAGAGAAGGCUUGGCCGAAAAACGGCAAACCUCAUCAGGAGCAAAGUCAAGCAGGGGUCGGGUGUAUACCCAAGGGCGGCCCGCCCUGACCCCGGGUAGGCUGCGCGGGGAAUAUCUCCGGAACGUUGCCGGUAACGGUCGCGCAAGAUAGAUGGUUGCCAGUUGUAGCCUUCGGUCGCGACUUAGCUUGGGAAGUUUUCUUCGGAAAACUCCAUGCCAAUUGUGAUCAGGGACGCAAUGACACAGAACCCGGCUUACGGUUCAUCGCUUUU